GAUGAACGCUAGCGACAGGCUUAACACAUGCAAGUCGAGCGAGCGGAACCAACAGAUUUACUUCGGUAAUGACGUUGGGAAAGCGAGCGGCGGAUGGGUGAGUAACACGUGGGGAACCUGCCCCUAAGUCUGGGAUACCAUUUGGAGACAGGUGCUAAUACCGGAUAAUAAAGCAGAUCGCAUGAUCAGCUUUUGAAAGGCGGCGUAAGCUGUCGCUAAGGGAUGGCCCCGCGGUGCAUUAGCUAGUUGGUAAGGUAACGGCUUACCAAGGCGACGAUCAGUAGCCGACCUGAGAGGGUGACCGGCCACAUUGGGACUGAGACACGGCCCAA
rnacentral:rRNA from 1 species